rnacentral:lncRNA from 1 species
CUCCGUCUCAAAUAAAUAAUAAAUAAAUAAAUACUUAAUAACAAUAAAGAAGAAUUCGUCCAUUCAACAACCGUUCACUGAGCGCAUAGCCUGUGCCCAGACACUGUUCCAGGCCUCUGGGAGCAAAAAGGCCUCGGUGCCCGUAUUCUAGUUAGACAACGAGAAGCGCGGGGAGGUGGGGGGCGGGGGUGGGAGAGAGAAAAUCUACACCGGGCUGCAUAGGUAAAUUCGUAGGUUAGGUGCUAAGUGCUUUGAAAAAGCAAACAAACACAGGGAAAGUGAGAUAAGGAGUUGCGGCAAGGGGCAGGUGGCUGUGUUAAAUCGAGUGGUUGGAAGAAGCUGCUAUGAGAAGGUACCGUAUGAGCAAAGGACUUGAAGCAGGUGAAGGGAGUUGGUCACGGGGCAUCCCCAGCACAAACAUCAGCUACAGCAAAGGCCCAGGAUCAACACACCCAGCUAAAACAGCUCAACUUCCUCAUCACACAACACAGUUCUGGCCAGUUAGACACACGUCCCCGGAAAGGGCAUCUCCAGGAGAAUAAAAAGGCCAAGCCACUUUUUGAAGAAAGUCUUUGUCCCUACCCCCUUUUUCUACCUGGAAGUCAGACUCAGGCCUGGAGUGUAGCGGCCGCCUUGGUACCUGGAAGCAACAAUCAUGGCCGGGAGACCUUACACCUGGCAUGGUAGAGCAGACGGAGGAGGGGCCGCCUGGUGAAUAGCCUGGCCAACAGCCCCAAACUGCUACCCCUUAAAUUCUGGAUUUCAGGUGACUGCUGUAACUUGAAGCAAGAAAAGUGAAACUACAGAAAAGGGAGGACCACUGGACGGCUGCUUUCAUUCUACGCCCACUUUUUAGAGUGCAUUCCUACAAUAAGCACCCUAAUAAUGUAAACCAGGGGCCAAGGGAUGCACCUUCCACUCUACUUCCUUCCCCAGAAAAGACCACCUUGGUAAAUACAGAAUGGCAAACGGUUAAGUGAAACACUGUAUAGCUUCUGGCCCUAUACUUAGUAUUUCUUAACAUUUACACAGCAUUUUCACAUUUCCAAAGCAGAGUACCAACAUUUAUUAAUCCUCACAACACCCCUGUGAGGUAGGUCAGUAUGUCCUUUAGAGUCGAGAACUGAGGCAGAGGUCAAGCAAACCUGCCCUGGGCCACAGAGCAGCAGAUGAAGGGCCUAGACCUGGAUCCAGAAGCUAGGGCUCUCGGUCCAGCAUUCAUCCACUGGUGGACAUCACAUGGGCUUAUUUUUACCAGCGAAGGUUACGUGAAGGACAAAACGCACUCAGCCAGCAACGGAAACUCAACAGUUCAAACAGCACUGGGGAACAUGUCAGUUAAAGAGACGAAACGCUGACCAGCUCAUGAAUGAGGCAAGACAACAUGCGGCUGAGGAAGUGUGGAAUCAUCACGACUGGGGAUUAGACCAAGAACGGGCGCUCAGGAGGGUUCAGGAAAAUGUAAACAAACUAGGAACCCAUCCAAGGGGUGACAGGCCCAAAUGCCUACGGUCUCCAAAUGGUAGAAAAAUUAGAAAAAGAUAGUGGAAAAAUCCAACCACGCAACCUUAACUUUAAACUAGGAAUGACAAUAAUGUGUCUAAUGUUCAUUCACACUAGAAAGGCCGAUAAUGUUUGUAAUAUAACUACUGGCGAUAGUAUCCUAUUUGUAUGCCAACUUUCAUCUCAAGUAUUCUGCUUUUCUUUCCCCACAGACAAACAAGUGUUGUUCUUUACAGCAGACCUCUUUCCCUCUACAUACCAAUCUAUCCACUCGCAUAACUACUAAGUGGCUCAAUGGCCUAUGUCUCAUGCUUAAUUGGCUGAGCUAGGCGCGGAAUCCGGGAAACCACAACAGACUGUACUCUGCUCCUGUAUUUCAGGAAUAACUGUCACUAACCUGCCUCUGUCCGAUUCCACCUUCUAUGAAGUACACACAGAGGAGCAGUUCAUUCUUUUGUAAAGGGAUUGGUGGACUUUGUUCGAGAUGCCAUUUCAAAAGAAAUGAGAAAAAA